GCCUUCUAUGUCGCUCCAACUCUCUAAAUCUCUCUCACAAUCUGGUUUUUUGUUUGUCGUUGGCUCUCUCUCUCUCCAGCCUCUUCCUCCAUUCCCGAGUAGAUUAUCCAACACUCUCAGCCUCUUUAUGACAGGAAAUUCAAGAGAGGAAAUUCAUAAGAGAAAAAGAAUCAUUUUGCUGGAUAUACUGAUUCAUGUAAGAAUUUGUUUCUCUCAAUUGUCAACUAAUUCACACACAGAUGGCUGCCCUGCUUGCUAUUGAUCUUGAGAAGAUAUUUAAGAGGGUGAAAAAAGCUUGGAAGCAUGGUAAGGAGGAGCUUGGUGGAUUAUGUGAUGAAGAGUUUGUUGAUAUUGGUACAAGUGAAAGAACUAUAAAGGAGAAGCUUAAGUGUACCUUAUUUAGUGAUUAUGAAGGUAUACAUUUAUAUAUGUAGAACUUGACUUGUAGGAUAAUCAUGUAUAUCAAUUUGGUUUAGGUUUAUUCUUGUAAUUAGGCAUGUAGUUAGAAGUCCUAGAAUACUUCAAUCUUCUAGAUUUUAUUUUGUUUUAUUGUACUUUUGAUAUUGUAUGCUUUUGAAUAUUAAUAAGUAAUUGAUACGGUU